rnacentral:rRNA from 1 species
GGCCGUAGGCCACACUGGGACUGAGACACGGCCCAGACUCCUACGGGAGGCAGCAGUAGGGAAUCUUCGGCAAUGGACGAAAGUCUGACCGAGCAACGCCGCGUGAGUGAAGAAGGUUUUCGGAUCGUAAAACUCUGUUGUUAGAGAAGAACAAGUGAGAGAGUAACUGUUCUCACCUUGACGGUAUCUAACCAGAAAGCCACGGCUAACUACGUGCCAGCAGCCGCGGUAAUACGUAGGUGGCAAGCGUUGUCCGGAUUUAUUGGGCGUAAAGCGAGCGCAGGCGGUUCCUUAAGUCUGAUGUGAAAGCCCCCGGCUCAACCGGGGAAGGUCAUUGGAAACUGGGGAACUUGAGUGCAGAAGAGGAGAGUGGAAUUCCAUGUGUAGCGGUGAAAUGCGUAGAUAUAUGGAGGAACACCAGUGGCGAAGGCGACUCUCUGGUCUGUAACUGACGCUGAGGCUCGAAAGCGUGGGGAGCAAACAGGAUUA